CAGCAUGUUAUCCUAAGGAUCAAAGCUUGUUGUAGCUUCUGGUUCUCCAAGUGCAUGCAAGAUGAUUGGGUGGUCUUUGACUGCUGAGGCCCCUCUGUGCCAUCAGCAGCCACUCAGCUGCCCUACAGUU